AUGCGGUGCCCACUGAUAUGCAACUGGGCGGUUGAGUUUCAUUUGCCGCAUCGCGUGUAUCGUCAGUUUGGUCUUUUCCAGCCUCACCCGCCGGAUUGGGUGGACACGGAUAAAGCACUUCAUAGGUUGGAUAGGAGAAGGCAAUGGAAGAUAAAGGACUGGGCCAAGCAUCAUUCUGCGUAUGUUACCCGCUUCCAGCUUUGUGUGGAGCAAGCUCGUAGCACUGCACGCGCCCCGCUUCGUGAGCACAACUCACUUGCUUUUGAUAACUACGUACGAUGGUUUAUUGGAACUACUCGAGUUGAGAUAUGCCCGCCGGCAUAUAAUGAGGAUAUUCUUGAAGAACCCGUAAACUUUGAGGAUUUAGCAAAGGGGAAGUACAACAGAGAUGUCAGGCUAGGGCAAGGAGUCCCUGCUGUUCCGGUGAUUAACUAUGUGGUAAAGUGUUCCCCUCUUUACUUUCCUAUUGACCGUAUUACACAUGUUUGA
rnacentral:rRNA from 1 species